rnacentral:rRNA from 1 species
GACGAACGCUGGCGGCGUGCUUAACACAUGCAAGUGGAGCGACGAACCGGGGCUUGCCCCGGGGCAGAGCCGCGAACGGGUGAGUAACACGUGGGUGACCUGCCCUCAGCUCUGGGAUAAGCCUGGGAAACCGGGUCUAAUACCGGAUAUGACUCCAUGACGCAUGUUGUGGGGUGGAAAGCCUUGUGCGGCUGAGGAUGGGCCCGCGGCCUAUCAGCUUGUUGGUGGGGUGAUGGCCUACCAAGGCGACGACGGGUAGCCGGCCUGAGAGGGCGACCGGCCACACUGGGACUGAGACACGGCCCAGACUCCUACGGGAGGCAGCAGUGGGGAAUCUUGCGCAAUGGGCGAAAGCCUGACGCAGCGACGCCGCGUGAGGGAUGACGGCCUGGUUGUAA